rnacentral:rRNA from 1 species
CCUACGGGAGGCUGCAGUGGGGAAUAUUGGACAAUGGGGGGAACCCUGAUCCAGCCAUGCCGCGUGUGUGAAGAAGGCCCUCGGGUUGUAAAGCACUUUCAGUGAGGAAGAACGCCUGGUGGUUAAUACCCAUCAGGAAAGACAUCACUCACAGAAGAAGCACCGGCUAACUCCGUGCCAGCAGCCGCGGUAAUACGGAGGGUGCGAGCGUUAAUCGGAAUUACUGGGCGUAAAGCGCGCGUAGGUGGCUUGAUAAGCCGGUUGUGAAAGCCCCGGGCUCAACCUGGGAACGGCAUCCGGAACUGUCAAGCUAGAGUGCAGGAGAGGAAGGUAGAAUUCCCGGUGUAGCGGUGAAAUGCGUAGAGAUCGGGAGGAAUACCAGUGGCGAAGGCGGCCUUCUGGACUGACACCGACACUGAGGUGCGAAAGCGUGGGUAGCAAACAGGAUUAGAUACCCUUGUAGUC